CCUCAUCACAAUCAAUCAAAGGUGAAGAACUUCAUCUCAGAUCUCUACAGCAAAAAUCCUAAGUAAUAAUAAUCAUAAUCAAAGUAACUCCAAAAUCCUAAAGAAUAAUAAUCAUAAUCAAACUUCGGCACAAUAAAUUAAAGUAAAAGGUGAAGAACUCCAUCUCAGAUCUCUACAGCAACCGCGCCAGAUCCAGUCACUGUAACUCUGUUCAAGCCGGCGGAGUUACCAGGAGUGGAAGUUGGAGAACCACCGGAGGGAGAUGAAGCUGGUGCAGUCGGAGGAGCAGGUGGAGAAGUGGUUGGAGUAGAGGCCGGUGGUGAGACAAUGGGAGAAGAAGUAGGAGCGGCAGACGGUGGUGUUACAACAGCAGAAGGUUUAGUCGGAGUAGCAUUCAGCAGAUAUGAGAGAAAGCUUGAGUACGCCAGAUCUGAGCAAGAGCACAUCCAGCCACCAAAGCGAAGAUUACCACCGAAACAAAGCUUGAGUACGCCAAAUCUGAGAGAAAGCUCGUUUACGUUAAUGGCGGAAAGAGAACGAAAAUGAGAGACUCAGCA
rnacentral:lncRNA from 1 species